rnacentral:rRNA from 1 species
UACGAAGGGUGCAAACGUUGCUCGGAAUUAUUGGGCGUAAAGCGCACGUAGGCGGCUCUAUAAGUCGGAUGUGAAAUCCCUCGGCUCAACCAAGGAAGUGCAUCCGAAACUGUGGAGCUUGAGUACUUAAGAGGAUCGCGGAAUUCCCGGUGUAGAGGUGAAAUUCGUAGAUAUCGGGAAGGAACACCAGUGGCGAAGGCGGCGAUCUGGGAAGAUACUGACGCUGAGGUGCGAAAGCGUGGGGAGCAAACAGG